CAAAGACAGAACGACCCGUGAAUCGGUGAAAAACCAUAGGGGAGACGUGCCCUCGGGCUUUUCUCCCAGAGCCCUCGGCGAAGGUUGUGGCUGAAAUCCACAUCCUUGGCCGCGGGCAAAACUAACAAACCCCGGCGCGAGUCGCGCCAAGGAAAACGAAGGAAUGUGCGCUUCCCUGGUCCCGAAAACGGUGCGCUGGGGAAGACGUCGUCGUUAUCAUAUUUGAAACGACUCUCGGCAACGGAUAUCUCGGCUCUCGCAUCGAUGAAGAACGUAGCGAAAUGCGAUACUUGGUGUGAAUUGCAGAAUCCCGUGAACCAUCGAGUUUUUGAACGCAAGUUGCGCCCAAUGCCGUCAGGCUGAGGGCACGCCUGCCUGGGUGUCACGAAAAGUCGCCUAACAUCCCUCCCCCACCCGAGGGGGAGCGGCGAGGGAUGGCGGACAUUGGCCUCCCGUGCGCUCGAUAGUGCGUGCGGUUGGCCCAAAACUUAGGUCUGCCCCGCGAGGCGAUCACGACACACGGUGGUUGAAAGCGCACGCUCUCCUCGAACACCGUCGUGGGCCAGCCUCGAUUGUGGGAAACCCAAAGACCCCGACGCGGAGCGUCAU
rnacentral:rRNA from 1 species